rnacentral:rRNA from 1 species
AUGUCAAAACUAGUACAUCAGUUGCCGCGCACAAGGAAAAGGCUGGAUGGGGUAAGCAGGAAGUAUGACAACAACAAUAAUCAUCCAGUAUCAUCUGAUGAAGAAACAUUGCAAGCACGCAAGCGCAGAACCAAAACUAAGGAACUGUCAUUGGAGAAUCUUUCACCGAUCACAUCACAGCAUCAAGAGACUUCACAAGGCACGCAUUCUGACGAUGAGACCAUAGGACAUGUGCUUAGGCGCACAAGGAAAAGGCUGCUUGUGUUAAGCCAUAAGAAUGAUAACGGCGAUAAUCAUUCAAUAUCAUCUGAUGAAGAAACAUUGCAAUUACGUAAGCGCAGAACCGAAACUAAAGAGCUGCCGUUGAUGGAUCUUUCACCGAGUAUAUCACAGCAUCAAGAGACUUCGCAAGGCACAGAUUCUGAUGGCGAGACCAUAGGAUCAAUACUUAGUAGAGGAAAGAAGAAAAGGUUAUCCACAUCAGAUGUUACAGAGAAUAAACAAGAACACCUAGAUUCUUUGAAGAACAUUGGUCUGGGGGUUGAGACUAUCGGUUCAAAUAUGAUAACCAAAAAUAAGGAGCUGCCAUCUGUGGAUCUUGCACCAAGUAUAUCACAGCAUCAAGAGACUUCGCAGGGCACAGAUUCUGAUGAUGCGACCAUAGGAUCUCUGCUUGGUAGAGGAAAGAAGAAAAGGUUAUCAACGUCAGAUAUUACAGAGAAUAAACAAGAAGACCUAGAUUCUUCGAAGAACAUUGGUCUGGGCGUUGAGACUAUCGGUUCAAAUGCCAUAACCAAAAAUAAGGCGCUGCCGUCCGUGGAUCUUGUACCGAGUAUAUCACUGCAUCAAGAGACUUUGCAGGGCACAGAUUCUGAUGAUGAGACGAUAGGAUCUCUGCUUAGUAGAGGAAAGAAGAAACGGUUAUCGACAUCAGAUGUUACAGAGAAUAAACAAGAACACCUAGAUUCUUCGAAGAACAUUGGUCUGGGGGUUGAGACUAUCGGUUCAAAUAUCAUAACCAAAAAUAAGGAGCUGCCAUCCGUGGAUCUUGCACCAAGUAUAUCUGAACAUCAAGAGACUUCGCAGGGCACUGAUUCUGAUGAUGUGACCAUAGGAUCUCUGCUUGGUAGUGGAAAGAAGAAAAGGUUAUCAAUGUCAGAUAUUACAGAGAAUAAACAAGAAGACCUAGAUUCUUUGAAGAACAUUGGUCCCGGCGUUGGGACUAUUGGUUCAAAUGCCAUAACCAAAAAUAAGGAGCUGCUGUCCGUGGAUCUUGUACCAAGUAUAUCACAGCAUCAAGAGACUUCGCAGGGCACAGAUUCUGAUGAUGAGACCAUAGGAUCUCUGCUUAGUAGAGGAAAGAAGAAAAGGUUAUCAACGUCAGAUAUUACAGAGAAUAAACAAGAAGACCUAGAUUCUUCGAAGAACACUGGUCUGGGCGUUGAAACUAUUGGUUCAAAUAUCAUACCCAAAAAUAAGGAGCUGGCCUCGGUGGAUCUUCCACCGGGUAUAUCACAGCAUCAAGAGGCUUCACAGGGCACAGAUUCUGAUGAUGAAACCAUAGGAUCUCUGCUUAGCAUAGGAAAGAAAAGAAGGUUAUCUACAUCAGAUGUUACAGAGAACAGACAAGAACACCAAGAUUCUUCGAAGAACAUUGUUCCGGACAUGGAUACUAUCGGUUCAAAUGUCAUGGACGCCCCUCUCCAUCCGGAGCUGAACUCAUCUAAUGAUAACGUUGGUGAUGCUGAACUUCUGGAUGACUUGAGUGAGCCUGAGCUGGAUGGUCGUGAAGAUACCGAGAAAAAAAUCAUCGACGACAGAGACAUGCCUGAAUCUGGGGACAUGACAGGCUCUAAUGCCGCUGUUUGGAGUAGAUGGUCUGCUACUGCUAUGGUGAGGAGACAUGCUUCUGAGUUUGGGGCUGGAAUUUGGCAGUAA